rnacentral:ncRNA from 2 species
UCACCGGACGGGCCUCGCGGUCCGGCCACCGCCAGCGACGGCAAAGUGGAGGAAACCGGUGCGAACCCGGUGCGGUCCCGCCACUGUGACCACGGCUCAGCCGUGGAAGCCAGGAACUCCUGCCGUCCUCACACUGCCCGG